rnacentral:rRNA from 1 species
GACAGAGGGUGCAAACGUUGUUCGGAAUUACUGGGCGUAAAGCGCGUGUAGGCGGCCCUGCAAGUCGGAUGUGAAAUCCCACGGCUCAACCGUGGAAGUGCAUUCGAAACUGCAGGGCUAGAGUCCUGGAGAGGAAGGUGGAAUGCUUGGUGUAGAGGUGAAAUUCGUAGAUAUCAAGCGGAACACCGGUGGCGAAGGCGGCCUUCUGGACAGUGACCGACGCUGAGACGCGAAAGCCAGGGGAGCAAACGGG